rnacentral:rRNA from 1 species
GACGAACGCUGGCGGCGUGCUUAACACAUGCAAGUCGAACGGAAAGGCCCUGCUUUUGUGGGGUGCUCGAUUGGCGAACGGGUGAGUAACACGUGAGUAACCUGCCCUUGACUUUGGGAUAACUUCAGGAAACUGGGGCUAAUACCGGAUAGGAGCUCCUGCUGCAUGGUGGGGGUUGGAAAGUUUCGGCGGUUGGGGAUGGACUCGCGGCUUAUCAGCUUGUUGGUGGGGUAGUGGCUUACCAAGGCUUUGACGGGUAGCCGGCCUGAGAGGGUGACCGGCCUCAUUGGGCCUGCGAUACGGCGCAGUCUCCUACGGGACGCAGCAGGGGGGAAUCUUGCGCAACGGGCGGAAGCCUGAUGCAGCAACGCCGCGUGCGUGAUGACGGCCUUCGGGUUGUAAACCGCUUUCGCCUGUGACGAGGCGUGAGUGACGGUAAUGGGUAAAGAAGCACCGGCUAACUACGUG